rnacentral:rRNA from 1 species
CUUGCGGCGUGCUUAACACAUGCAAGUCGAACGGAAAGGCCCUGCUUUUGUGGGGUGCUCGAGUGGCGAACGGGUGAGUAACACGUGAGUAACCUGCCCUUGACUUUGGGAUAACUUCAGGAAACUGGGGCUAAUACCGGAUAGGAGCUCCUGCUGCAUGGUGGGGGUUGGAAAGUUUCGGCGGUUGGGGAUGGACUCGCGGCUUAUCAGCUUGUUGGUGGGGUAGUGGCUUACCAAGGCUUUGACGGGUAGCCGGCCUGAGAGGGUGACCGGCCACAUUGGGACUGAGAUACGGCCCAGACUCCUACGGGAGGCAGCAGUGGGGAAUAUUGCACAAUGGGCGGAAGCCUGAUGCAGCAACGCCGCGUGCGGGAUGACGGCCUUCGGGUUGUAAACCGCUUUCGCCUGUGACGAAGCGUGAGUGACGGUAAUGGGUAAAGAAGCACCGGCUAACUACGUGCCAGCAGCCGCGGUGAUACGUAGGGUGCGAGCGUUGUCCGGAUUUAUUGGGCGUAAAGGGCUCGUAGGUGGUUGAUCGCGUCGGAAGUGUAAUCUUGGGGCUUAACCCUGAGCGUGCUUUCGAUACGGGUUGACUUGAGGAAGGUAGGGGAGAAUGGAAUUCCUGGUGGAGCGGUGGAAUGCGCAGAUAUCAGGAGGAACACCAGUGGCGAAGGCGGUUCUCUGGGCCUUUCCUGACGCUGAGGAGCGAAAGCGUGGGGAGCGAACAGGCUUAGAUACCCUGGUAGUACACGCUGUAAUCGGUGGGUACUAGGUGUGGGGUCCAUUCCACGGGUUCCGUGCCGUAGCUAACGCUUUAAGUACCCCGCCUGGGGAGUACGGCCGCAAGGCUAAAACUCAAAGGAAUUGACGGGGCCCCGCACAAGCGGCGGAGCAUGCGGAUUAAUUCGAUGCAACGCGUAGAACCUUACCUGGGUUUGACAUGGAUCGGGAGUGCUCAGAGAUGGGUGUGCCUCUUUUGGGGUCGGUUCACAGGUGGUGCAUGGCUGUCGUCAGCUCGUGUCGUGAGAUGUUGGGUUAAGUCCCGCAACGAGCGCAACCCUUGUUCACUGUUGCCAGCACGUUAUGGUGGGGACUCAGUGGAGACCGCCGGGGUCAACUCGGAGGAAGGUGGGGAUGACGUCAAGUCAUCAUGCCCCUUAUGUCCAGGGCUUCACGCAUGCUACAAUGGCUGGUACAGAGAGUGGCGAGCCUGUGAGGGUGAGCGAAUCUCGGAAAGCCGGUCUCAGUUCGGAUUGGGGUCUGCAACUUGACCUCAUGAAGUCGGAGUCGCUAGUAAUCGCAGAUCAGCAACGCUGCGGUGAAUACGUUCCCGGGGCUUGUACACACCGCCCGUCAAGUCAUGAAAGUUGGUAACACCCGAAGCCGGUGGCCUAACCGUUGUGGGGGAGCCGUCGAAGGUGGGACUGGUGAUUAGG